UACGUAGGGGGCAAGCGUUAUCCGGAUUUACUGGGUGUAAAGGGAGCGUAGGUGGUAUGGUAAGUCAGGUGUGAAAGCCCGGGGCUCAACUCCGGGAUUGCAUUUGAAACUACCAGACUAGAGUGCAGGAGAGGUAAGUGGAAUUCCUAGUGUAGCGGUGAAAUGCGUAGAUAUUAGGAGGAACACCAGUGGCGAAGGCGGCUUACUGGACUGUAACUGACACUGAGGCUCGAAAGCGUGGGGAGCAAACAGGAUUAGAUACCCUGGUAGUCCACGCUGUAAACGAUGAAUACUAGGUGUCGGGGGUCAUAAGACCUUCGGUGCCGCAGCUAACGCAAUAAGUAUUCCACCUGGGGAGUACGUUCGCAAGAAUGAA
rnacentral:rRNA from 1 species